AUACGGAGGAUCCGAGCGUUAUCCGGAUUUAUUGGGUUUAAAGGGAGCGUAGGCGGACGCUUAAGUCAGUUGUGAAAGUUUGCGGCUCAACCGUAAAAUUGCAGUUGAUACUGGGUGUCUUGAGUACAGUAGAGGCAGGCGGAAUUUGUGGUGUAGCGGUGAAAUGCUUAGAUAUCACGAAGAACUCCGAUUGCGAAGGCAGCCUGCUGGACUGUAACUGACGCUGAUGCUCGAAAGUGUGGGUAUCAAACAGGAUUAGAUACCCUGGUAGUCCACACAGUAAACGAUGAAUACUCGCUGUUUGCGAUAUACAGUAAGCGGCCAAGCGAAAGCGUUAAGUAUUCCACCUGGGGAGUACGCCGGCAACGGUGAAACUCAAAUGAAUUGGCGGGG
rnacentral:rRNA from 1 species